CAAAGUAAAAGACACAAUGACAUAAACAUUUUGGGAGAAAGAGGAAGAGAGUGAAAGCCAGAAAGAUUUCCUACAAGAAGAAUGUGAGACUAUUUUUUCUUGUUCGUACAUAUCUUCAGAAGGUUGGACUGUGCCAUAAACAGUACACAAUGGGACUGUGCAUUGACAAGGCUGCCUGAAGACUGGCUACUGGGACAUGGAGUGGGUCUGGAUGGCAGUGAAGUUACAACUUUGUGGCCAGGAACAGCAGUGAACUUUCUGUUCUUCAGGGAGAGACCCUUAAGAAGGGUCCUCUCGCUCCUCCAGCCAAGCGCUUCUCCUAUGCCCCAUCAAGUCCGUCCAGGCCAAGUCCCC